UACAGAGGUCCCAAGCGUUGUUCGGAUUUACUGGGCGUAAAGGGUGCGUAGGUGGCGAGGUAAGUUUGAUGUGAAAUCUCCGAGCUCAACUCGGAAAUGGCAUUGAAUACUAUCCCGCUUGAGGGUCGGAGGGGAGACCGGAAUUCUCGGUGUAGCAGUGAAAUGCGUAGAUAUCGAGAGGAACACCGGUGGCGAAGGCGGCGUUCUGGACUGCAACUGACACUGAGGAACGAAAGCCAGGGAGCAAACGGG
rnacentral:rRNA from 1 species